UAACGCUGGCGGCAGGCGUUAACACAUGCAAGUCGAGCGGUAGGCACGGGGGAGGCUUGCGUCCCUGGGGUGACGGAGCGGCGGACGGGUGGAGUAAUGUCUGGGAAACUGCCUGAUGGAGGGGGAGUAACUACUGGAAACGGUAGCUAAUACCGCAUAACGUCGUAAGACCAAAGAGGGGGACCUUCGGGCCUCUUGCCAUCAGAUGUGCCCAGAUGGGAUUAGCUAGUAGGUGGGGUAAUGGCUCACCUAGGCGACGAUCCCUAGCUGGUCUGAGAGGAUGACCAGCCACACUGGAACUGAGACACGGUCCAGACUCCUACGGGAGGCAGCAGUGGGGAAUAUUGCACAAUGGGCGCAAGCCUGAUGCAGCCAUGCCGCGUGUGUGAAGAAGGCCUUCGGGUUGUAAAGCACUUUCAGCGAGGAGGAAGGUGGUGAGCUUAAUACGCUCAUCAAUUGACGUUACUCGCAGAAGAAGCACCGGCUAACUCCGUG
rnacentral:rRNA from 1 species